GCUCGUCUUGUGUUCACACCAAGAUGCACAGAUGAAUGGUACGUCUUCAAACAUGAUAGAAUAUUUGCUAUAGGCUUUUAUUAACACUGAAUAUACAAUUAUUUUUCUACUGAAGGUUCACAAGUUGUCGCACGAUGGCGUUUAUUUUGGGUGCGAGAUGAAAGAGGAAAAUGGCAAGAUUAGUUAUUGAAUAACGCGUAGAUGUAGGGACUAAAAUGAAUUAACGAGUCUAUUGAUGUCACGAACAUCCUGGUUCCUACAGCAGUAUAGGGCUCCUUGGUUUAGAGCCUAGCU